rnacentral:lncRNA from 1 species
CUGGGCGAUGGUGGCAUGAUAGAGCUCGUGGAAGGUGAUGUGUGCAUGCGUCUUUUGAAUCAUAUUCACGAUUCUCAUGCAUGCUUUUCUCUUGUUAUGGGAAAAAUGAAAGGUUUUCUUUAAUUUGAAUUUUGAGGUUUGAACAGGCAAGGCAACUGAUGGUUACAAUGCAUUGUAAUCUUAGUUAGAAACUUAAAAGUAUUUAAGUUUUGCUAGACUAGCAUGUGAAUUAUAGGUUUAGUAGGAAACUUAGUCCCAUGUG